rnacentral:rRNA from 1 species
AUUGAACGCUGGCGGCAGGCCUAACACAUGCAAGUCGAGCGAGAGGCGGACGGGUGAGUAAUGUAUGGGCAUCUGCCCGGUGGAGAGGGAUAACUAAUGGAAACGGUGGCUAAUCCCGCAUACAAUCGGCUGGGCCCAGAUGGGAUUGGCUUGUGGGUGGGGUAAAGGCUCACCUAGGCGACGAUCCGUAGCUGGUCUGAGAGGAUGACCAGCCACACUGGAACUGAGACACGGUCCAGACUCCUACGGGAGGCAGCAGUGGGGAAUAUUGUACAAUGGGCGAAAGCCUGAUGCAGCCAUGCCGCGUGGUUGAAGAAGGUCUUCGGAUUGUAAAGGACUUUAAGUUGGGAGGCGUUACUAGCAGAAUAAGCACCGGCUAACUUCGUGCCAGCAGCCGCGGUAAUAC